AGUCGAACGCAGUAGCAAUACUGAGUGGCAGACGGGUGAGUAACAUGUGGGAAUCUGCCUUGUGGUUCAGGACAACAUUGGGAAACCGAUGCUAAUACUGGAUAAGCCCUUACGGGGAAAGUUUUAAUGCCAUAAGAUGAGCCCGCAUUUGAUUAGUUAGUUGGUGAGGUAAUGGCUCACCAAGACAAUGAUCAAUAGCUGAUCUGAGAGGAUGAUCAGCCACACUGGGACUGAGACACGGCCCAGACUCCUACGGGAGGCAGCAGUGGGGAAUCUUGCACAAUGGAGGAAACUCUGAUGCAGCGAUGCCGCGUGAGUGAAGAAGGCCUUUGGGUUGUAAAGCUCUUUUGUAGGGGAAGAUAAUGACUGUACCCUAAGAAUAAGGUCCGGCUAACUUCGUGCCAGCAGCCGCGGUAAUACGAAGGGACCUAGCGUAGUUCGGAAUUACUGGGCGUAAAGCGCGCGUAGGCCGUUGAGUUAGUUAAUUGUGAAAUCCCAAAGCUUAACUUUGGAACUGCAAUUAAAACUGCUUGACUAGAGUUUGAUAGAGGAAAGCGGAAUACAUAGUGUAGAGGUGAAAUUCGUAGAUAUUAUGUAGAACACCAGUUGCGAAGGCGGCUUUCUGGAUCAACACUGACGCUGAGGCGCGAAAGUAUGGGUAGCAAAGAGGAUUAGAUACCCUCGUAGUCCAUACCAUAAACGAUGAUUGCUAGAUGUUGGAAAUUUAUUUUCAGUAUCGCAGCUAACGCAUUAAGCAAUCCGCCUGGGGAGUACGACCGCAAGGUUAAAACUCAAAUGAAUUGACGGGGACCCGCACAAGCGGUGGAGCAUGUGGUUUA
rnacentral:rRNA from 1 species